UGGAGGCCCCGCCCCUCUUUGUAAAAUCCCAAAUGACUGUAACUAAAUGACUAACUCGUUUUCCCGGCCGGAGGUUCCCCUGAAGUUUAGAAGUGGGGUGGGGGGGUCACCGCCGCCCCUAGCUCCUAACCAAUUUGUUUAAAGGCAGGAGGGAAGGAGGAUGCCACCCUUUUCAAGAACGCUCACGGGAACCCAAAAGCAACUAACGGUCUCCAGGCUUCCUGCAAGUUUUUUCCCCCUCUGUUCAGUAGGCUUGAACCCCAACUCCGGGCCUGUCAAAGAGGGAGUACUCCUGACCAGAUGAGGAAGCCGAGGCUCACAGCAAUGACUGGCGUUAGGUCCCAGUCGGUGGAACUGCUCUUUCUAUUGCACCAUUCUAAUGCUUCACUAAGCAAAGAUGAAGAACGAUAAAGAAAAGAGAAGAAAAGAUGAAACAAGAAUGAAAGGAAAGAAUAUGGAAUAAGAGGGGUCGAAAACAUUUUAAGCCUCCAAAAUUUGUCUGAGGUGCCAAUCACUUGUGCUCAUAUCAACAGUCUCUAAGGUGAAUAUGACUAAUAUUGAAGAAUUCAGUCUGGGUUGUCUUAAAAUGCAGGUCCCCUCCCGUAAAACUGUAAUUAGUAUAUACAGAACACCCUCUAUUUCUCUGCUUUAUAUAUCUUUACAGUAUUUAUCCACUUGUAACAUUCUAUAUAUUUUAUGCUUUAUUAUGCUUACUGUUUGUAAACACACACACACACACACACACAUUCAUGUAAGUUUCAUGCAAGCAGCAAAUUUUCUGUGUUUGCUGUUAUAUUUCUAGCAACCCUAGAAGAGUGCUUGGCCCUAGUAUCUCUCAGUACAUGUUUGGGGGGGAAAGAGAGGAGGCUAACAUCUUUCAAGACAGGAACACAGUAGGAGCUAAGACCUUUGAAAGAACUAGGUAGUCGAUUUCAAGAAGGACUUCUAAAUAUAUGCUUGCGAGACCAUGCUAGAAAACAGGUUUCUCUUAUCCAUCUUGCGAAAAUAAAAAUAAGCCCUUUUUUGA